rnacentral:rRNA from 1 species
UACGAGAGGCCCAAACGUUAUUCGGAAUUACUGGGCUUAAAGAGUUCGUAGGCGGCGCAGAAAGUAGGUUGUGAAAGCCCUCGGCUUAACCGAGGAAUUGCGCCCUAAACUACUGUGCUUGAGGAACCUAGAGGUGAGCAGAACAGAUGGUGGAGCGGUGAAAUGCGUUGAUAUCAUCUGGAAUACCGGAGGCGAAGGCGGCUCACUGGGGGUUUUCUGACGCUGAGGAACGAAAGCCAGGGUAGCGAACGGG